UAGCGGAGGAAAGAAACCAACAGGGAUUGCCCUAGUAACGGCGAGUGAAGCGGCAAAAGCUCAAAUUUGAAAUCUGGCCCUAGCGGUCCGAGUUGUAAUUUGCAGAGGAUGCUUUUGGUGCGGUGCCUUCCGAGUUCCCUGGAACGGGACGCCAUAGAGGGUGAGAGCCCCGUACGGUUGGACACCUAGCCUCUAUAUAGCUCCUUCGACGAGUCGAGUAGUUUGGGAAUGCUGCUCUAAAUGGGAGGUAAAUUUCUUCUAAAGCUAAAUACCGGCCAGAGACCGAUAGCGCACAAGUAGAGUGAUCGAAAGAUGAAAAGCACUUUGAAAAGAGGGUUAAAUAGCACGUGAAAUUGUUGAAAGGGAAGCGUUUGCGACCAGACCUUCUCCAGGGGGAUCAACCGUUAUUUUUAGCGGUGCACUCCCCCUGGUUUAGGCCAGCAUCGGUUCUCUUAGGGGGAUAAAGGCCUGGGGAACGUAGCUCUUUAGGGAGUGUUAUAGCCCCUAGCGUAAUACCCUUCAGGGGACCGAGGACCGCGCUUCGGCAAGGAUGCUGGCGUAAUGGUCGUCAACGACCCGUCUUGAAACACGGACCAAGGAGUCGAACAUUUGUGCGAGUGUUUGGGUGUUAAACCCUCACGCGUAAUGAAAGUGAACGGAGGUGAGAGCCUUAGGGUGCAUCAUCGACCGAUCCUGAUGUCUUCGGAUGGAUUUGAGUAAGAGCAUAACUGUUCGGACCCGAAAGAUGGUGAACUAUGCGUGGAUAGGGUGAAGCCAGAGGAAACUCUGGUGGAGGCUCGCAGCGGUUCUGACGUGCAAAUCGAUCGUCAAAUCUGCGCAUGGGGGCGAAAGACUUAUCGAAC
rnacentral:rRNA from 1 species